ensembl:antisense
ACACCAUCCCUUGGAAAUGAAUUGUUAACAUCUAAAAGUGAGCCGUUUAAAUGAAGACGUUAAGUAAGUAGAUGUACAGAGAUGUAUGUUUUGCUGGUGUGAAUGUAUGUACUUCACAUGACUGCAAUGUCUGAGGAGUCAGAAGAGGCACGGGUGGCACGCAUUUGAGGCCACAGUGCCAGAAGCAGCAUAUCUUCUGAUCUCCACAGUCCCUGUCAUUGUAACACUGGGGAUCAUCUUCCCUGAAGCAGCGGACAUUGUCUGGCGGGCAAACUCCUUUCUCUUUAUUUGGUGGAAGAAGGCACAAGCUUGAGCUUUCUGGAACUUUCUGCAAGGCUUUCUUCAAGUGUUCUGAGAGCCUGAAAUAAAUGACUAUGAGGAAGAAGAAGAUCAGAAGAUGUUGAAGAGAGCCUGGGAGACACCGAGGAGUUGAGACUGAAGGUUUCUAGGCCGUGUUAGGACAAUGAGUUGCAAUGGGCUGAGCCUGCUGCCGGUAUUCAGGUCAGCUUUUCCUUCAGCAGAGAGACUGACUGGUUUCAAAAGGACAGAAACAACCCCUCCCUCUAGUCUCCAUAAGAAAAUCGAAGGGUGUGACAUUAUUUUCUGUAAUUACUUCAACUCAGGCAUGUGAAGGAAUUGUGCAUAUAUUUGGGAUAAGGUUGAAUUCUAUGUCAUUUUAGUCAAAGAGAGGAUAAUUCUUGAAAAUGAUAUCUACUGCCAACUCCUAGGGAUGGCAUCACCAGCUCAGGUAUAGGCUUGCUGUGUGCCAAGUGUACUGGUAAGGAGUUUGUUCCAGGAAGGCUGCCCAGUUUGCUGAAGUAAGCAGCCUUGCACAAGAUGAUAUAACUCGUCCCUGCUUAACAGUAGUUAUUUAUUGGCUCACAGUGUCAUUGUGUUAGUGACUAUAGCAGCCAUAGCUCAACAACAGCAACAAAAUAGUCCUGCUCUGUUGUACUUCAUGUGGCUGUCCAAUAAAAACGCCCGUUUAUUGCUAUGGAGUUUAAAGUGCCUAUGUCUUUUCAGGGAGGAGAAAGACCUGGUCUUUGGAGCAUUCUUUCCCCAGAGAAGUGUAAAGCUGACACAUGUUGGAGGGCUCACGGUGGCUGACACUUCUUUCUUUUAUUUUUUAAAGUAUUAUUUUAUUCGUGUGUUUUGCCAGCAUCUAUGUCUUCACACCAUGUGCAGGUCUAGUGCCUGAGGGGUCCAGAUGAGGGCAUUGGAUCUCCUGGAACUAGAGUUACAGAUCAUUGUGAGCCACCAUGUGGGUGCAGGAAAUAGAACCUGGGACCUCUGGAGGAGCAGCCACUGCUCUUAACCACUACGCUAUUUCUCUGGGUCCUCUUUUAUCUUUCUUUGUUAUUCAAUGUUACCAUCAAAUAAAGAAGAAGUUCAGUUUUACUAAGAACACUGAGAAGUGAAGUGUAUCCAUUUGAUGUAAAUGACACUACUAAAUCUGUACAUAACAUUUUACAUCUUGUGACUGUUAGACUGCAAAGCAGGUUCCUAAGAUGGUAGUGCAGCUGCCAAUACCCUAGGAUGGCUCCCUGAGCAUACCUGGGGCAGAUGGCCAUGAGUAAAUGGAAAUCUAAUGACCAGUGUUCCUCAGAAACCCCGUGACUCAGGGACCUUGCUCAUCAGAUAACUGCAGUUUCCAAGGCCCCCCCUAAAUGGCCAUCUACCACAGGCAAAAGGACAUCUAAUACUCAUAAACUGGCCUCACUGCAUCAGGCACAAGCCCUUUUCAGUAGGCUUGUCCUGGGGAUUCUGUUCGACCUAAGACAAAAACCAAACCAAACCAAACCAAACCAAACCCUCCUGAGAGGGAAGGAUCUGCUCUUAAGCAUCCAGUAACUGUGCAAAUCCCUCUCAUUCUUCUGGCUGAGCUGCUGUUCGCUUCCCUUGUGAGUCAGCUCAGCAGUUUGUUCUCCAAUAAACUUUUUCCAAGC